rnacentral:lncRNA from 1 species
GCCGCCCCCUCGCCGCCCCCUCGCCCCCGCCUUCCGGGUUCCGGCCGGCCCCGCGGGCCCCCGAACCCUUUCUGUGGCGGUAGCCUUGGGGAGCCGUGGGCGCCUGGCGCUCCACACGCCUUGCCUCCCGUGUCUCCUACCUCUCGGCAUCUCCGGGCUUGUGCAGGGGUGGUCCUGCUGCCUCUGCAGGAUGACGGCACCCGCAGCCCCUGCCGUCCUGUCUGAGAGAGCGUGUCAGAAAGCUCCGAGGUCCGCAGCUGCCCUUUCAGAGCAAAAGCAUCCUCUGGGUAGCUGAAGCUUG